rnacentral:rRNA from 1 species
CNNUCCUGGUGGCGAGUGGCGAACGGGUGAGUAAUGCAUCGGAACGUGCCCAGUCGUGGGGGAUAACGCAGCGAAAGCUGCGCUAAUACCGCAUACGAUCUAUGGAUGAAAGCGGGGGACCGUAAGGCCUCGCGCGAUUGGAGCGGCCGAUGUCAGAUUAGGUAGUUGGUGGGGUAAAGGCUCACCAAGCCAACGAUCUGUAGCUGGUCUGAGAGGACGACCAGCCACACUGGGACUGAGACACGGCCCAGACUCCUACGGGAGGCAGCAGUGGGGAAUUUUGGACAAUGGGCGCAAGCCUGAUCCAGCAAUGCCGCGUGCAGGAAGAAGGCCUUCGGGUUGUAAACUGCUUUUGUACGGAACGAAACGGUCUGGGUUAAUACCCUGGGCUAAUGACGGUACCGUAAGAAUAAGCACCGGCUAACUACGUGCCAGCAGCCGCGGUAAUACGUAGGGUGCGAGCGUUAAUCGGAAUUACUGGGCGUAAAGCGUGCGCAGGCNGUUUUGUAAGACAGGCGUGAAAUCCCCGGGCUCAACCUGGGAAUUGCGCUUGUGACUGCAAGGCUGGAGUGCNGCANANGGGGAUGGAAUUCC